UACGUAGGGUGCAAGCGUUAAUCGGAAUUACUGGGCGUAAAGCGUGCGCAGGCGGUUUUGUAAGUCUGACGUGAAAUCCCCGGGCUCAACCUGGGAAUUGCAUUGGAGACUGCAAGGCUAGAAUCUGGCAGAGGGGGGUAGAAUUCCACGUGUAGCAGUGAAAUGCGUAGAGAUGUGGAGGAACACCGAUGGCGAAGGCAGCCCCCUGGGUCAAGAUUGACGCUCAUGCACGAAAGCGUGGGGAGCAAACCGG
rnacentral:rRNA from 1 species